UUAUGUUUAAUUUCAUCUAUCCGAUAACAUGCCUGCUGAGUUUGAAAACAAAAAGUUAAGACAUGUUGAAAAAGACAUAUUAAUUUUUAGUACAAUGCUAAAGCACGUGAAACAAGUAAAAUGCUUAGACGAAAGAAAGGCUUUUGACCAGUGCUGUUCAAAUAAUAAUAAUUUAAGUGUUAUUUACAAAUGUAGAGAAGCUAGCCGUUUAAUGCAAGGAUGCUAUAAUAAUUGGUUAACCAAUCCAGAUUUUAUAAAAGAAUGCACAGAUAUAUAUUUGACAGAAAAAGAUUUAUACAAUGAUACAGGCUUAAAUAAACAGCAAAGAGAUGUUCAAACUGCUAUUAGAAAACAAAUUUUUGGUGAAUAAAAUAUAAUUAUAUGAAUAUCAUCUAUUGCAAAUUAUCAAAUUUGUUGUAAAUAUAUUUGAAUUUAUACAUAUUUAUUGUAAUA